AGAACUAGUUCACUGUGAAGCGGCGCGGAAUCAAUGUGAUUCCAUUGGUACACCAAUACAACUCUAGAUAGCAACAACAGCAUUACCUGCUCAGAACGUUAAGAAGUUGAGGUGAAAGUGGCAAAAGCCUCUAAGCGCUAGCGUGGAAGCAACGUAGCGGAGAACGGGGCUUUACAGUUGCAAGAUAGCCAACAUACCAACAUAAGGAGACAGCUCAGGGGAACUGUCAAAAAGUCUAACCCGGAGAAAGGAGCAACAGCUGUUGCUAGCCACAGACACACACACACAUACUUUUACACACAGUCACACACGUACAAAAUGCCACACAAACAGUCUCAAAGCUGGAUUUACACCUGCCUCUUGGUCAGUAUCUUGCCUACAUUGUGCUUGGGCUUACUCGACGGUCUCUACUGUGGCAAGGAGAACUGUUACGAUGUGCUGGGCGUCACACGUGAAUCCUCAAAGUCGGAGAUCGGCAAGGCCUACCGGCAGCUGGCACGCAAAUAUCAUCCCGAUCUGCACCGUGGCGAGGAGGCCAAGGCGCUGGCCGAGCAGAAGUUUAAGCUCGUUGCCACCGCCUACGAGAUACUGCGCGACGAGGAGUCCCGCACAGACUACGACUACAUGCUGGAUAACCCGGACGCCUACUAUGCGCAUUACUAUCGCUACUACCGACGACGUGUGGCACCCAAAGUCGAUGUGCGCGUGGUGAUCGUGGUGACGUUGACCGUGAUUUCUAUAAUCCAGUACUACUCUGGUUGGCAGCGCUACGAUGCUGCCAUCAAAUACUUUUCAACGGUGCCCAAGUAUCGCAACAAGGCGCUGGACAUAGCCCGAGAUGAGAUCCAGGAGCGAGUGCACAAUCGCAAGGGCAAGAAUCGCAAGAGCCUAUCGAAAACGGAACAGAAAGAGGAAAUCGAGCGUAUUAUACGCAAGGUAAUCGAGGAGAAAAUGGACGUUCAGGGCGGCUAUGCGAAGCCGACGCUAUGGGAUGUGCUAUGGGUGCAGCUGCUCAUCUGCCCGUACACGCUGUUCAAUUUCAUUGCGUGGCACGCGCUGUGGUUCUGGCGCUACACGGUGCUCAAGCAGCCGUACGGCCGGGAGCAGCAGCUCUAUUUGAUACGACGCCACAUGGGCAUGGGUCAGCACCAGUUCAAUUCACUGGAGGACAAACAGAUCGAGGAGUAUCUGCAGCUUGAACUGUGGAAGCGUGACAAUUUUGUCGCGUGGAAGACCGAUCAGGACGAGGACAUGAAGAAGAAACUGGCCGAGAAUCCGCGCUACAAGGCCUACAGGCGCUACAUGAAGAACCAUGGGCCCGGGCGGAUCACCUUCGAGGAUUAGAGGACGAGUACGGCAUCUGUUGAUGUUCAAGUUUUAUUGUUCCAACGUGUCGCCAUGGGCCAGUCAACUGGCGAAGUUUUGCAAUAGCUUAAAAAUAAAUUAUGUUAAUAAUUCUGCUGGCCAUUUGAACACUGCCCGCAGGGCAGCGAUGGCCAAAGCGUUGACCUCGCCACCAAAACCGGUUCCAAAAACGUGCUUACUCGCAUUUCAUCUCUCAUCUUUCAUCUUCCACAUCUGCCAGCAGAAACGUGCGAUAAACGCGAAACCGAAAACCGAGAACCUCUCUCUGUUUUUUGUCUCUCCUUUUUUCAAGUUGUUAGCUCAAUUGUCCGAAUUUUUAUAUAGCAAA